CAAAAUGUGUGUACCAAAUAUCAGAUCAAUCUGUCAACAAGAAGGGGGUCAAAUUUCAAUAACCGUUUUUUGACGGUUGAUGUGGCAUUUUCGUUUUGUGUUAUCAAGUAAAAAAAACUUCCCUCUUUCAACAUUAAAAUUGAUAGUUGUGAAUCUUCUUGUGAUUGAGUGCAUGUUGUAUGGGGUAUACGGUUUCUCUUAAGGGACUUGAUAUUAUAUUGUUUUAUUAUAGUUGAGGUCGACGGAUCUUGUUUUAUAUAUUUCUACCAUUGGGUAUUCCCAUCACAAAAAUUCUUUGAAUAAGUAUUACAGAAAAUUCUACACCAUUCAAGAAUAAUCUGGAAAGCACUCGAAUGUUCUGGACUGUUUUAUAACUUUCUAGAGGGCAAAAUUUUUAGCCCUUAUAUCUUCAAAAGCACGUCCUUCACGAGAAAAAGAUUUAGGGUAAUUCCGGGGGAGACGGCCGUAGGGAGAGAUGGCUAAUAGAAAAAAGUUCAAGUAAUAAUUAAUAGAUGGCACUAGUCAUCGUUUAGUUUGGUUCGCAACGGCACGGGUAACAACUGUCAGUGUUUUUUCUGUUGAAAAAAUACUGAAACGAUGCCGAACCAAUAUGUACGGAAGGUGGCUGCUGGUCGAGGUGAAUGGAGCGAAGAAGAUUUAAAAAAUGUUAUGGAAGAACUACAAAAUUGAGGGAUGAUGAUUUAUAGGGCCUCUUUCAUCUACAAAAUACCAAAAAAAAACUUUAAAGAAGUGUGAAUGACAGCACUAAAGGACCUAUGGGACCGUCAUUUACCUUCGGUACAGAUAAUGAAGAAAUACUGAGCAAGCAUAUAAAAGACAUGCAGUCAAGAGGCUUUUAUUUGACAAAUGAUUUAAGAAUAAUUGCAUUCAAGUUUGCUGUGCAAUUAGGAAUUGAACAUAGAUUCUGUAAAACAUCUGAAAAGGCGGGCUAUGAUUGGGUGAAAAUGUUUCCGAAAAGAAAUUCCGAUAUUUCUUUGAGGAAAUCAGAAGGGGUGUUAUACGCUAUAAGUCAAGGGAUGAUUAAAUCAGAUGUAAACGCCUAUUUUAAAAUGCUCGAGAAAACUCUCAGUAAUAAUGACCUAAUAAAUAAACCUGGCCAUAUUUACAACAUGGACGAGUCCGGGUUGCAGUGAAAUAAUCGACCAGAUCAUGUUUUGGCUGAAAAAGGUUCGCAGGCUGUAGCCAUGUCAACCUCUACAGAAAAAGGAGAGCCAAUAACGGUUGUUGUAAUGCUGAGGGUAAUUUUAUUCCUCCAGCGUGCAUUAUGAAAGGACAACGAAAGAAAAGAAUUCGAAGAUGAACUGCCUCCAUCAGAUUCGGUAGUUUAUAUGUCACAAAAAUCCGCCUAUAUAACCUCCGAUAUAAUUACGGAAUAGAUGAAAUCGCAUUUCUUGCCUCGAAAACCAGAUGGCAAAGUGCUCCUUUUGCUGGACGGUCAUUCUAUACACUGUAAUUGAGUUGAAAUGCUGGAUUUUGCUAAUGAUAAUGACAUCAUCUUACUCUCAAUGCCGUCACGCACACAUCCCAUUACCUUCAGCCGCUGGGUGUUGCUGUUUUCAAGUCUCUCAAAGCUUACUUUUAUGAAUAUUGCAGGUUAUGGAAGAAACAGCACCUUGGACGUCGUCUUACAAGACAAUUUGGCUUCUUACUAAUUUAAGCCUGGGGAAAAUCAGCGACAAGUGGAAAUGCAAUAUCAGGAUUUAGGACAGCAGGAGUUUUUCCUCUGAAUCCAGCUAUUCCGGAGUACGCCUUUAGUGAGAACAUUGACCAACCCGUUGAAAGAAAUAUCGGACAUGCAGCGCAGGCCCAAUCAAUUUCAGAUCCAGGCCCAAGUACAUCUAUUCAGACGUUGGAUCAACCAACACCAACAUGAUUACUUACCGAAGUGUCUCCACUGCCUGUGAAACUACACGAAGUUCGCAAAUGAGCGAAACAAGUAAGCAUUCUUUUGACAUCUGAAGAGUAUAUUGAAAAACGGAAAAUAAAAGAAAGUGAAAAAGAAUAUAGAGAACAAAAUUUAAAAAAAAACAAAAAUAAUAAAAACAAACACUAAGACUGAUAAACCUGAGGAAAAAAAGGCUAUUAAGAAACGAAAGGUAAUUCGUAGGUUAUCUGAUAGCAGCUGUGAAAAAAUUUCCAUCGUUUUCAAUGAUACCUCUUAAAGUGAAACUGAAGACAGAGAGGAAGAUAACUGCAGAGAUUGUGGUGAUGAUUAUUAUAAUACACUACUGAUAGAAGAUUGGAUACAAAGUAAUAUUUGCAUGUUCUGGGUGCAUGAAAAUUGCACCGAGUUUGAGGACAUGUGUUCAUACUGUGGUAAUAGGAAAAAAAAGGAGCUGAAAGAUCUCAAGGGCAAAGGGAAAGGCCAAAAAAGUAUUGGACAUCUCUCUCCAACUGCUAUGGCUAUCACUUCCGGACAUCCUGGGAGAGAUGGCCAGUCCUAAUUUUUUUUAUAAGUUUAAAAUUACGUUAUUGCAUUUGUAAAAGUGAUUUAUCACGAGCGAGAGUGAAUUUGGAUGAAAUAAAAAAAAAAUCAUUCUUGAAAAAAUGUUAUUGGAAAUAAGUAACAGGUUACUUCACAUUUGAAGGAUUGUUUUUUUUUUUUUUUCGUUGGUAUACCUACUAAAAGCAUCAGCUAGAAAUGCAUAGUGAAAUUUAAACGAAAGCUUGUCUUGAAAUCAUUUUAUUCAGUUUCGAAAUUAAUGUACAUUAUGAUUGAAUUGAGAAUAUAUAUUUAUCGAGGCGGUACUUAUAAAAUAUUGAAAUAAAUAUUUCAUUUUUGA